rnacentral:rRNA from 1 species
AUGAACGCUAGCGACAGGCCUAACACAUGCAAGUCAGGGGCAGCACAAGGAGCAAUCUGAGGUGGCGACCGGCGGCACGGGUGAGUAACACGUAUGCAACCUGCCUGUAAGCGGGGAAUAACCCGUUGAAAGACGGACUAAUACCGCAUAAUACUAAAUUACUGCAUGGUAAUUUAUUUAAACAUUUAUGGCUUACAGAUGGGCAUGCGCAUGAUUAGCUAGUUGGAGAGGUAACGGCUCCCCAAGGCAACGAUCAUUAGGGGUUCUGAGAGGAAGGUCCCCACACUGGUACUGAGACACGGACCAGACUCCUACGGGAGGCAGCAGUGAGGAAUAUUGGUCAAUGGACGAGAGUCUGAACCAGCCAAGUCGCGUGCAGGAAGAAUGUCCUAUGGAUUGUAAACUGCUUUUGCAGGGGAAUAAAGUGCAUCACGUGUGAUGUUUUGUAUGUACUCUGCGAAUAAGGAUCGGCUAACUCCGUGCCAGCAGCAGC